UCUAAAGUGGCAGAAUAGUGUAGUGAAUUUAAAAUUCAUAAAUGAGAUCCUUAAUUUCUUUUAGAA
rnacentral:tRNA from 1 species